GGGGGGAGUAUUAAGAGAUCUUAACCAAUUAUUUUGUAAAAUUAUAAUUUUCUUCGGUUGGAAUUUUAUUUUUUAUUACACCUGGUAUGUUGAUUUGUUUUAGUUGUUACAAGUAGCUAUUUUUAGUCUAUCACACAUGUAUUUAAAGGCUUGUUGUACUCCACACCUGAUCACAGAUAUGAAGAUUGAUUUUCCUUCAUUUUCCCUUUCUUGGUUGAUUAGUUUUCCCUCUCCUUUUGUCUGUUUGAUUCUUUUCUUACUCCCUCUUCUUUUCAACUGGUGGAGACUGGUUCACAUUGGUGUGGACAUUUCGGUUUUAAAAACUCUACUUAUUUUUAUUUGAUUAGAUAUUUCAGUCACCUGAAUAGAUAUCAAAGACAUGGUGUGAUCAUCAUAGUUGACGGUUUUGUUGAGGUCAAAGAGAGGUUAGAAGAGCAAAGGCACAUCAAACAGCAAGAGAAUAUCAAAUAAUAUGUCAAUUUGAUUUUGUUCAUCAAAGAACAUGUAAAUUUGCUCCUACUUGAACAAUUACAUUUUGUA